rnacentral:rRNA from 1 species
GACGUAGGGCGCGAGCGUUGUCCGGAUUUAUUGGGCGUAAAGAGCUCGUAGGCGGCUUGUCGCGUCGACUGUGAAAUCCCGCGGCUCAACCGCGGGUCUGCAGUCGAUACGGGCAGACUAGAGUUCGGUAGGGGAGUCUGGAAUUCCUGGUGUAGCGGUGAAAUGCGCAGAUAUCAGGAGGAACACCGGUGGCGAAGGCGGGACUCUGGGCCGAUACUGACGCUGAGGAGCGAAAGCGUGGGGAGCAAACAGG